UUCAGCGGGAGUUCAGUAGUCGAAGUUCAAUAUUUACUCAAAUACUUAAACACAUACAAUAAGUUUCAGUGUGUUUUUUGGAAUUUAUUUGCACUUUUAUUUACUCAUUACGCUGACAAUUUCCGCGCCGAUAAUUUGUUUUGGUUGUUUAAUGUCAAAAAUUGGUUGGCUUUUAAUUAUCGCUAACAAGAUUGGAAUAGGCCAGGCAACGGGCGAGCUUCGGAAGUCACUUAAGGUUGGAACAUGUCCGCUAAGUAAAUAACCAAAUGUCCGUCCAUUCAACAAAAGCAGCGAAUACAUUUUUGGACAACUCAUUUGGCCAUACAGUCGUAAUGGAUUUGGUCGUCUAAUAGCACAGUGGGAUGCCUCUUUCGGACACAAUAGAAGUGCAUUCAUAUGAUGCGGACGAAAAUAUUUAGCCGGCUAAUUUGGAAUUUAAUCAGACAAAUGGUUACUCUUAUCCAGAUUAUUUAUUAAAUUUUUAUGUUAAAUAACAUCUAUGCACAUUUGCAGAAUAAAAUGAUAG